rnacentral:rRNA from 1 species
GAGUUUGAUCAUGGCUCAGAUUGAACGCUGGCGGCAUGCUUUACACAUGCAAGUCGAACGGUAACAGGGAGCUUGCUCCGCUGACGAGUGGCGAACGGGUGAGUAAUGCGUCGGAACGUGCCGAGUAGUGGGGGAUAACGCAUCGAAAGGUGUGCUAAUACCGCAUACGAACUGAGGUUGAAAGUGGGGGACCUUCGGGCCUCACGCUAUUCGAGCGGCCGACGUCUGAUUAGCUAGUAGGUGAGGUAAAGGCUCACCUAGGCGACGAUCAGUAGCGGGUCUGAGAGGAUGAUCCGCCACACUGGGACUGAGACACGGCCCAGACUCCUACGGGAGGCAGCAGUGGGGAAUUUUGGACAAUGGGCGCAAGCCUGAUCCAGCCAUGCCGCGCGCCUGAAGAAGGCCUUCGGGUUGUAAAGGACUUUUGU